UACGUAGGCAGCAAGCGUUGUUCGGAGUUACUGGGCGUAAAGCGUGCGUAGGCGGUUCGUUAAGUCUGUUGUGAAAGCCCCGGGCUCAACCUGGGAAUGGCAAUGGAUACUGGCGAGCUAGAGUGUGUCAGAGGAUGGUGGAAUUCCCGGUGUAGCGGUGAAAUGCGUAGAGAUCGGGAGGAACAUCAGUGGCGAAGGCGGCCAUCUGGGACAACACUGACGCUGAGGCACGAAAGCGUGGGGAGCAAACAGG
rnacentral:rRNA from 1 species